rnacentral:rRNA from 1 species
GUGGAUUAGAUACCCUGGUAGUCCACGCCGUAAACGUUGGGCGCUAGGUGUGGGUCCCAUUCCACGGGGUCCGUGCCGCAGCUAACGCAUUAAGCGCCCCGCCUGGGGAGUACGGCCGCAAGGCUAAAACUCAAAGGAAUUGACGGGGGCCCGCACAAGCGGCGGAGCAUGCGGAUUAAUUCGAUGCAACGCGAAGAACCUUACCAAGGCUUGACAUGUACCGGAAACUUCCAGAGAUGGUUGCCCCGCAAGGUCGGUACACAGGUGGUGCACGGUCGUCGUCAACU